rnacentral:rRNA from 1 species
CAGUAUGAAAAUUGGUGAUUUAUAAUAAUUAGCAAUCGCAAAGGAAAACAGGCGAUAAAUCAUUCAAGUUUUUGACCUAUCAGCUUUGACGGUAUGGUAUUGGCUUACCGUGGCAGUGACGGUUAACGGGGGAUUAGGGUUCGAUUCCGGAGAGGGAGUCUGAGAAACGGCUACCACAUUUAAGGAAGGCAGCAGGCGCGCAAAUUACCCAAUUCUAACAGUUUGAGAGAGGUAGUAACAAGAAAUAACAAUACAAGGCAGUUAAAAUGCUUUGUAAUCUGGAAUGAUAGAAAUUUAAACCCUUUUUAAAGUAUCAAUUGGAGGGCAAGUCUGGUGCCAGCAGCCGCGGUAAUUCCAGCUCCAAUAGCGUAUAUUAAAAUUGUUGCAGUUAAAAAGCUCGUAGUUGAAGUUUUGCUAAAAGUAACCGGUCCGCUUUGAAUAAAAGUGGUAUCUUGGUAUGUAUUUAGCAAUGAUGUCCUUUUAAGUG